GACGUGGGUUGGCAAUAAGAGAAGAAAGAUGAGUAGUAAGAACUCUGAAUCUGGAACAGCAACAACAGGAACCUCUUUGUCAGCUCCAGACAUUACAGUCAGAAAUGUGGUUAAUAUUGCUCGACCCUCAAGCCAGCAGUCUUCUUGGACAUCUGCCAAUAAUGAUGUCAUUGUAACUGGUAUAUACAGUCCAGCCAGUUCAUCAAGUAGACAAGGAACAAACAAACAUACAGACACACAAAUUACAGAAGCACAUAAAAUCCCUAUUCAGAAAACAGCCACUAAAAAUGAUACUGAGUUUCAGUUACACAUUCCUGUUCAAAGACAAGUAGCACACUGUAAAAAUGCUUCCCUACUUCUAGGUGAAAAAACAAUUAUUUUAUCAAGACAGACAAGUGUGCUAAAUGCUGGAAACUCAGUAUUCAAUCACACAAAGAAAAACUAUGGAAACUCUUCAGUACAAGCUUCUGAAAUGACAGUACCUCAAAAGCCUUCUGUGUGCCACCGACCUUGUAAAAUUGAACCAGUUGGGAUUCAAAGGUCAUAUAAGCCUGAACACACAGGUCCAGCAUUACAUAACUUAUGUGGGCAAAAGCCAGCUAUUAGAGACCCUUACUGUAGAACACAAAACUUGGAAAUCCGUGAAGUGUUUUCACUGGCAGUUAGCGAUUACCCCCAGAGAAUUCUGGGAGGAAAUGCCCCACAGAAGCCUAGCUCAGCAGAAGGAAAUUGUUUGUCCAUUGCAAUGGAGACUGGAGAUGCUGAGGAUGAAUAUGCCAGAGAGGAAGAGCUGGCAUCGAUGAGAGCACAGAUACCAAGCUAUUCGAGAUUUUAUGAAAGUGGCAGUUCCCUUCGAGCUGAGAACCAAAGUACAACCUUGCCCGGACCAGGAAGAAAUAUGCCAAAUUCACAAAUGGUGAAUAUUAGAGAUAUGUCAGACAAUGUACUGUAUCAAAACAGAAACUACCAUUUGACACCACGGACCUCAUUACAUACAGCAUCUAGUACGAUGUACAGUAAUACCAAUCCAUUACGGAGUAAUUUUUCUCCUCAUUUUGCAUCAUCAAACCAAUUGAGAUUAUCACAAAACCAAAACAAUUACCAGAUUUCAGGAAACCUUACUGUGCCUUGGAUUACAGGGUGUUCUAGAAAAAGAGCAGUAAGUAAUCUUUCAUUUAAAGCAGCAAAUGGGUUUCCCCUUGUGCUGUUAGUAAAAAUGCCAUUGAGAAAAUUGCCAUAUUUGUAAAGCUGGCAAAACUGAACCUUGAUAGGACUACAUUGUCUCAAAGGACAUAUUUCAAGAUCAUAAUAUUUACAUAUACUGCAAAUGUAAUCUUAAUUAUAAUGUAGUAAUCAGCACACCAUAUAAUCCAUGGGCAGUUUUCUCAGUUUUAAAAGUGACUCCAAAAUAAUUCCUAAAAUAUAAAAUAUGAUUUUUUCUACAUCUAAUCAACUCAAUUAAUUUGAUCAAUUGAAUCAUAACUUAUAUAAAAUAUCUCAAUCAGUAUUGCAUAAUUUAAUUUACUAUUUUCUUUUAGUGCAAGUCAGUAUUUAGAAAUGAUGAGUAAUUAAGGUUUACCAAUCUUAUUUUGUGCUCUAGAUUUCUGAUACAACUGUUGUAAUUUUUAAAAUGUCAAUAUAACAGAACUUCAGUAAAAUUGUGCUUCCUCAAAGAAUCUCAUUCAUUUUUGUGUGUAAGACCAAUAAAUCUGCAUUUUGGCAAAUA
rnacentral:sRNA from 1 species